AUUGAACGCUGGCGGCAGGCCUAACACAUGCAAGUCGAACGAGUGGCGGACGGGUGAGUAAUGUCUGGGAAACUGCCCGAUGGAGGGGGAUAAAUACUGGAAACGGUAGCUUAUACCGCAUACUUUCGGAUGUGCCCAGAUGGGAUUAGCUAGUAGGGGGGGUAACGGCUCACCUAGGCGACGAUCCCUAGCUGGGCUGAGAGGAUGAACAGCCACACUGGAACUGAGACACGGUCCAGACUCCUACGGGAGGCAGCAGUGGGGAAUAUUGAACAAUGGGCGCAAGCCUGAUGCAGCCAUGCCGCGUGUAUGAAGAAGGCCUUCGGGUUGUAAAGUACUUUCAGCGGGGAGGCGUUACCCGAAGAAGAAGCACCGGCUAACUACGUGCCAGCAGCCGCGGUAAUAC
rnacentral:rRNA from 1 species